rnacentral:rRNA from 1 species
GGGGCCCGCACAAGCGGUGGAGCAUGUGGUUUAAUUCGAUGCAACGCGAAGAACCUUACCUGGGCUUGACAUCCCCGGGAAUCCCUUGGAACAAGGGAGUGCCCUUCGGGGAACCUGGAGACAGGUGCUGCAUGGCUGUCGUCAGCUCGUGUCGUGAGAUGUAGGGUUAAGUCCCGCAACGAGCGCAACCCCUAUUGUUAGUUGCCAUCAUUCAGUUGGGCACUCUAGCGAGACUGCCGGUAAUAAACCGGAGGAAGGUGGGGAUGACGUCAAGUCCUCAUGGCCUUUAUGACCAGGGCUACACACGUACUACAAUGGCCGGUACAAAGGGCAGCCACUUAGCGAUAAGGAGCCAAUCCCGUAAAGCCGGUCUCAGUCCGGAUUGGAGUCUGCAACUCGACUCCAUGAAGUUGGAAUCGCUAGUAAUCGCAGAUCAGCACGCUGCGGUGAAUACGUUCCCGGGCCUU